rnacentral:lncRNA from 1 species
UGCAAUUGUUGGUCUUCAACGAGGAAUUCCUAGUAAGCGCGAGUCAUCAGCUCGCGUUGACUACGUCCCUGCCCUUUGUACACACCGCCUGUCGCUCCUACCGAUUGAAUGAUCCGGUGAAGUGUUCGGAUCGCGGCGAUGUGGGUGGUUCGCCGUCUGCGACGUCGCGAGAAGUCCACUAAACCUUAUCAUUUAGAGGAAGAAGAAGUCGUAACAAGGUUUACGUAGGUGAACCUGCGGAAGGAUCAUUGUCGUACCCUGGAAACAGAACGACCUGAGAACGAUGAAACAUCACUCUCGGUAGGCCGGUUUCUUACUGUGCCUGCUGAUUCUGUGGUUAUGCGUUCAUCCUUGGCCAAGACUUCAGUUUUGGUUGGAUCGUACGCAUAGCUUCCGGAUAUCACCAAACCCCGGCACAAAAAGUGUCAAGGAAAAUGCAACUAAACAGCCUGCUUUCGCCAAUCAGAUAGGCGCCAUAUGCCUUAUGUAGGGUGUAGACCCACAUGAUGGCAAUGGAAGGCCGGUUAUAUCAGUACAUGCUAAGUGGACGAUGGCUUAUCAAGUUUAGUGGUCGGAUCAUGUUUCAUGACGAUGGUUCGAUGACCGAACACUAGUAUGGAUAGUCAUGUUGCUGGAGUAAGAGUAUUGAUGUGAUGCUUCUAGAUAUCAACCUUGGUGUUGAUAGCUUCGAGAUUGGCUAAGAGUCAUGACGAAGUGUAUGGCUAGUACUAUGUGUCGUAGACCAUAGGUUAUGAGCCUAAGUAUGGUUGUUCAAGGAAGACCGUGUAAGAUCUGAUCAUGGUUGAGUAUGGACGACCUGACCUCUGGAUGAUGGUCUAAGGUGUCAGUACUAACCUGAUUAACGAAUGCAUCGGUUGGUAUGAACAAAUCAUAUAUGUUGUCUGGGUUAAGUCCCAAGGCCGGUCAGGCCAGAUGAUGACUCAUCAGUUCCAAGUCAUGUGAGGAUGGUUGGUUGAUUAACUUAGGAUCUAAUGAGCUUUGUCAGUCCAGAAGAUGGACUUGGUACUAUUGCCUAUAAGGCAAAAGGAUUUCGGAUUGUGCUUGAGCCGAGAUAGGCCAAAUACAUACCCUUAUCCUUUCAAAGACUUCUCAAAGGUUACUUAUGUCGGUGGGGAUGGUUGGUUGAAUGACUAAGUACCUAGGGGAGCUGUUUGAUGCAGGAGUCAAGAUAAGGACCUUAAGUAAGAUCAUUGAGUGAUCGUGGUCCAGCUGUCAAGCAAGAGCAAUUCGAGUCAAUGGAGGACCGAUGAGCUAAUAAGCUCCAUAGAUGUGGCAAAGGUAUGAUCUAGCUUUUAAUUAUGUAGAUCUAGAUAGAAUGGUUUAGGGGAAUGGAACCUCAGAAUCGUAUGGCUUGGUUUGGGUUUAGUAUUGACCUUAAAGCUAAUUGGUGGUUGAGUAAACUGACCAAGGCAAAGGUGAUUCGACCAGACAAGUGUUAGAUUGGUUUUAGACCAAUGGUUAAUUAGAGAAUAAUCCGCUGCGUAUCUGUUGAAAGGAUCUAGGCUAUUAAUGACUAGGUAAGUCUUUAGCUAAGGUCUAAGUUAGCCCUCGCCUUUAGGCGAUAUUAUAAAUAAAGGGCAAAAAUUAAGAGGUUCGGCCAGGAAGUGGACCGAGCGACGUGAGGCAUCGACCGCGGCCUAGGCGGCCGGGUUCGGGUCUUACAAGUUGGUAUCAGAGCCAGGUUGAUCCUGUUUAGGACAACGCUCUAAGAUUAUGAGUUUCAUACUGAAAUUAUUUCCAAAACUAUGAUGACUAUGAAACCUUAGUUGGGGUGAGCCAAGAAAGAGUUAAGGUAAGCAAGGAUAUCAUGCUUGUGAAUGUGGGAAUUCUAAGAUGAACCGGCUUAGCCAAGAUACAUUUUCCAAGGGCAAGAACCUAAAAACAGAAAGGUUGGUCGAUCUAGUAUUUAGAAGUAAUAGACGGGUUGGAAAGGAUGGAAGCAAUGCAAAACUUGUUUAUGGAUUACCUGGACAAGGGAAGUAACAUGGACCAGAGAGUGGCUUAGGUUGACAUAAACGUGCAGCACUCCACAGAAGUUAAGUGUUAUCCCUUGAUGGCCGUUCAUAAUAAGUAAAGCAUAUGCAAUGUUAAAUCUGACUCAAAGGAGACACUACAUGACCAGUACACGAGUGGACUUCUGAUCAGAUGGAUCAGUUAGGACUCGGUAUAAGUCAAGGUAGGUUUCCAUUGAUCAAGUUAGAUUGAAUGAAUCAAUUCCAAUCUGAAUCCAUCCAAAGAAAGAAUGAGGAAACUCAGGGUGUUCGUUCCAAUCAUUGGAAGAACAUGAUGUUAAGUAUCUUAGUAUAAUGGGGAUUGAGGUAUAUUAUAGUUGCUGUUGUGAAUGGUGUGAGCAUUCGCAAUAGUAAGACGCUUAGGAGAAUGGUAUUGGACGUUUUCCAAAUGUGUGAUCAAACCGAAAUCCUACUCAUCUAGGUACCCACUGGAAGUGGAACGGGUGGCUUUGUUGGAGUCUAACUUGGCUUAUGAAGCUAAGCUUAAGGCUAAGCCACAGUCUGGCCCAUCGGGCAAGACUAAUGAUAAAAAGAGAAAAUGGGACCGGGUGGACAGAGGCAAGACCUCUGGUGGCCGACUUGCGUUUUCCAAAUGUGGACGGAACCUUCCUGGUGAGUGCUGGAAGGCCAAGGGGGCUUGUGUUCGUUGUGGCAGCAUGGACCAUGGGGUUCAGAACUGUCCUCGACCGAACCCGUCUGGUAGAAGCGGCCAGAUGACUUGUUUCCAUUGUGGCCAGCAAGGACAUUUCCAAUCGGAGUGUCCCAAGCUGCAAGGAAGUCAGGGGAAGGGCGGUGGAGACACAGGCAAGGCGUCCCAAGGCAAACCAACCACAACACCAAGGGUGUAUGAACUGUCACGAGACGACAGAGCUUCCGGAUCUUUUGAUUCGAUCUCUGGCAAUCUCUAAAUUUAUAUUUUUACAUUCAAGUAGUAAUGCUUGGUCUGGAACCUAGAAUGUGGUCUAGGGGAUUCUGAUGGGGGUCUCUGAUAGGAACCCUCAUGAUUGGUGGUGUCAAAACCCACGUACUUUCUGACGCAGGGCUACGCAUAGGUUUUGUGAGUCCGGGACUGGUCGGAAAGGGUCUGUUCUGUCUGUACGCUGGUGAUAAUUUUGGGAUAGUGAGGGCAGCCGGUGGGCAAGCCAGGAACUCACUAGAUCUCAUGUCGAAUAUCCCAGUGCAGAUCCAGGGAAAGGUCUUCCCUGUGAAUCUGGUCUGUGUCCACCUAAAGAAUCACGAGAUGAUCCUAGGUAUGGACUGGUUGGGAAAGUAUCGGGCCACUCUCGAUUGCCAUAGAGGUCGUGUGCAAUUGGAGACUGGGCUUCAUCCGAUCCAGUACCAAUGUCUGUGUCCGGCUCAAGAGAAAGUAGUGGUUUCAGCAGUUCGAGCGAUUCGGAUGUUGGAACAGGGUUGUCAGUCCUUUUUUGGCUACAAUUACAACUACAGAGCCGGGGCAGUUCUGUCUGUCUGAAAGACCUUUCAGAGGAUUCGUUGGUGUCGAAGUUCCCAGAUGUGUUCCAGGUACCUCAGGGUGUCCCCCCUGAUAGGUCGGAUCCAUUUACGAUUGAACUAGAGCUAGGGACAGCUCCGCUUUCCUAGAGUCCGUUUCUGUCGGCUCCGGCCGAGAUGGCAGGGCCGAAAUUGACCAUGUCCGAGAGAGGACCAUGGUCGCAGUACAACCAAGUCGGAGUUUGACCUACGGUUGAGAAUGAUCAAGUCUAGUAAUGGACGAGGAUCAGGCCAUGACCUUUUCGGAGAUGGACCUAUGGUCGGGGUGAAACGGUCGAGUCCUUGAGUGGACCAUGACCGGAAUACGAUCACGUCCGUAAAUGGACCAAGAUCAAAUUAUGACAAAGUCCAGUGAAGGACAGAAGUCAAGUAUGAGGCGUUUUUUAGUCUGGAGGGACUAAGAUUGCAAUGUGGCCAAGCCUGAAAAGGUUGUGUCCGGUUAAGGGGAUGAUCCAUUACGUUGUGGCUGAGGUCAUGAACCUUAUUGUCCAUGAAGGACAAAAGAACCAUAACAAUAUGUAAGGACUUGUCGUAGGACGAGCAGCCUAAAGAUUGGAACAAGUUCGUGAGGACUUGACUGGUACAUCGGAGUGGUCAUUUGGUGGUUUUGAAUCAGGCUUGUUCUAUUCUCUGAUCAAGACUAGAAUAAGUUUGGUUGGAAUAUUUUGUCUUGGGACAAGGUAUAAUCAUUACCGGAUUCGAGGACGAAUCCAUUACAAGUGGAGGAGACUUGUCACGCCCCCAAUCCCGGAAAGGAUUGUCGGGACGGCCAUGGUUCGAGGAAACGUACCAGCCAGUCUUAGGACAUCAAGGCAAGCAUUCCAUGGUCAAGAAAGAAGGUUAAGGACAUAACGAAACUUAGACUUAACCUUAUAAGAGCAAAGAGACAGCUAAGACGUGUAAGACGGUAGCUGGACGAGAUAGAGAAGUAGCUCGGCCAGCUAAACGAAGCUAGGUUGACUUCACUCCAGCUCCGCCACUACUAAGUCAGCUCCACUAGCUGGACUCCUAGCUCACUCAGCUGAGGCAGCUGGGAGUCAGCUCAUCUCAGCUAGACGGACUGUUUGGGUUUUAGGCCGAUGGUCCGGGUCCGGGUCAGUGGCGGGCUGUGAGGUCCGGUCAUGAGGCCAUGGGCUGUUGGGUCCUUGGACAAGGCCGUGGGCUAAGUCCAGGAGGCUUGGGGCGUGGGUUGGGCUUAUGACCGACCCCAAACCCAAUCAGAAAGGGCGAAAGGAUGCAAGUGGCCGAAAGGGGACAACCCUUGGCCGAUGGUGCCCGUUCGCUAGCAAGUCAUGCCUGUUCGUGGGGCAAGACUUACCCCCUCGUUUUCUAUAAAUAUGGGGCCUCUCCUGUCGAUUUCAUUAUCCAAUUCCAGAGUAAAAUACUCAGAGAAAAACGUAGAGGGAAAGAGAGAGAGAGUCCUGGCCAAGAGAUCGGCCGGAAAAGGGCCGGUCGUGG